rnacentral:lncRNA from 1 species
UUACAAUAAAAUCACACAGACCACUCACUGUCUUGAGUAUCUCUAAGGUAUCAUAUACUUUCUAAUAUCAAUGCAAACCUCUGAUCCUAUUAAAAAGUAGGAAUUGUGUGUGCAUUUGGACAAUUGUUAGUGGUGAAAAAAGCAGAAGUGUUAAUAUGAUGAUUCUAGAACUGCUCUAUUAGACCACUUUUAUGGCUCUUUUACUUGUCUAAAAAAAGGUCUCUCUUCAAAAUCAAUAUUGUCAUUACCUUGGAGAAGUGUGUAUGUGUGUGUGUGUGUGUGUGUGUGUGUGUGUGUGUGUGUGUAGUCAACCAGGCAAUAGCAAAAACCUAUCACCCAGUCUUCAGUAAUAAGGUACGUGUAAAGAAUCAGAAUAACUGGAAGAUAUUUAUAAAGUGUAAACCCUCUGGUUUCAUAAACCAUGCUAGGCUGUUAUUUGCUCAGGUUUAUUCUACAAACCACUGAAUGUACAAGGCUUUCAACUCUCUGCCAUCCUGGACUGAUGAAGGGUGAUUAGCAAUACCAUUAACAAAUAAGACAAGAGGAAAAGGAAAAAGAAAGUAAGACCUGUGUUCAUUAUAUCUGCCAUUUGCUGCCUAUUUAAAAUUCAGUUGCUCACAACAAAUUGCUAUCUCAUGGAUACUAUCCCAUGUUUGGGAUGCUUUGUUGUAUAUUCCCUUUUGCCUAAGAUACUGCAUUCUCAGCAGUCUGGGAGUCCUGCCUUCUCUUUCUAAUUCCAUGGGUGCUUUCUGGUAAGCACACUCAAAGGUGUUAUUGUAUUUUCCUUCAAAAGCCUUUUCCAUCUAAGUACCAUGUCCCACGUGCAUCAGGUACCACCUAUGCUUCUCCUCUGAGGCUAUGUGUGUGCUUUCAUUAGAAUUCCAACUGCAUAGUUGGCCAGUGUCCUUCCAUCUGUUGAUAAGCUGCAGCGUCUUGGCCGUGCUUUUCGGAAUUAUCCACCAAACUGACUGAUGCUUCAACAAAAGCCUCAAAUUCUUUCUCUGGGUCCUGAGUUGGCACAUUAUCUUACUCAUUUUAGUUGUUCAUGUGUUACACUUAAUUGAGCUCAUAGCCUUUAAUUUUUUUGUGAACUGACUCAGUCAGAAAAUUCCAAAUGUCUGCAAUAGGAUGUACUUGUUCAUACAUUAUCUUUCUUGAGCUUUAGGCUUUGCAAAGCUGAAAUCCCGGGUUCCUGAAGUUUACCUGUUUAUGAGGGAUUGCUAUCUUGUGUCUCUAGUUUAUUCCUUAGGCUGUCAUUUUUAAUAUUGCUCUCUCCUGUUUCUUUUUAUGGAUUCACAGCAUCUUCCUUCUCUGUAAUCAUCUUUUUCUCCUGGCUUACUUGUUUGAGGAGGAUAUUUUAGGGUCAUCCCUUACAGUUUUGUGAUACAUAUCCAUCUUGAACCAAAUGUUCUGUGCUUUCGUGGUUCUCUACUGCCUGGAAAUGCUAAGGUUCUUGAGGACAAGGAACAUAUGGUAUUUCAUACUCCAAAAGCUUUAUGAAGUAUCAUGCUCAUAGCAUCUGCCCAGUGAAUUUUCCUAGUGAUAACUGGAUCCACAUUAACUCUUUAAGGAUCUUCAAUCUGUUUCAACUUCUUGUUUUGUAUUCUUGUCAUUCAUUUUUUUAACCUAUAGAUACGUUCUCUUUAGGAGAACAAGACAUUGCAAAGUACACUGAGUACAACAGCCUGAAGGAAAGAGAGACACUUGUGCCCCUCCCUUUGGCUAUCAGACUAUGGACUUAAUGGCCUGAAGAUACUGAAAUCCCACUAAUAACCCCAUACUGAGAAAAGAAAAGCCUAAAUUCAGGUCCAGCCAGAAGGGGGAGCUUGUCUCUCCAGGCAAGAAAUUUACCACUUGUCAGAGAAUCUUCCAGGAGACAUGGAAGCCCAGAUGGUUGGUAAGAUCAUACCUUGACUUAGAUUGCUCAGUUAUGUCUAACUCUGGCCCUGCCGUUAAACCCUUCUUGCAGAUUUUGAUAACAGGCUUAUGUCUUGUCCACUUUAGCCAUGUCUGGGAGCACAUGGAAAAUACUCUGAUGCCUCAUGCACUUAUAGAAAGUGUGCAGAAGAUUGGGAAUGCAAACACCCUUGCAGUGAUCUAGUUACAUAUAAAACAAACAGUAGUUUGAAUGAAAAGGUUUGUGAUAACUAGGCAUUGUAGCCAUUUUCUAUAUGCUGAACUGAAAAUCCAAAUGUCUAUAACUAAUGGCUUAGAUAGCUGAAUAAAGUGCCCAUAUCAGUUUCCAGUUGUCCUUAAUAUAUCUUAUCUGUGAAUAAGACUGGAAUGUGUGCCUGCACCAAUAAGCAGCUAAAUCCUACCUGAGCUGCAUAUGUAUAAUUCUCUCUGAGUUCAAUGUAAGGCCAAGCAUUACUUAAUUUAGUAAAUAAUAUGCUUUCAUCAGCAGCAUGUAUAUCACUGUUAUACAUGUUUUGAAAAAUAAAGCUAUCAUUGCUAUUUGCUACAAUCAACAGAGAGUACUCAAUAGCAAUAUAUUUAAAUGAUGCUAUUAAUCAUUUAUGGCCUCAUGUAUAUGCCGUUCCAAGUUGGUUCUGUUAAAUACAAUGUUAUAGAAAGAAUCUUCUGUUGUUCCAGUGAAAACUACACUAAAUAAAAUGAAGGAGAAAUCACUGCAAUGCAAUUUAUAAAAACUGGAAAUCUUGUCACUUAACUUCCAGCCAGGCUUCACUGCAGUUAAUCUGCCCAGUGGCCCAAGACACAAUAUAAAACAUGAAGAGUCCUUAAUAGUAAACAACUGUGACAGGCCACAGUGUCAGAAUUCAGCCUGGAAUACUAGGAGUGAAAGGGAAGGCAGGGCAGCAUCUUUCCUGUAUUCUCACUAAACUGAGUCUCUUUGGAUCCAAGAAGAGCACCCUUAGUUCAGAGACAGUGUAUGGGUUUGAAGUUUAAACAGUGCAAUGCUGGGUUACUGUAAGCUUUCCCAUUGUAAAGUCACUCUGUGCUUGCAAACUGAGCACAAGCCUCUCUGUUGAUUGAAAAUCAAGGUGCUUUCCUAAGAAAGUUACACUGUAACACUUUAGUUAUGUCUCAGAGAAGUGUUAGACCUGCCUGGAUUUACUUUUCCAUUCAUAACUAGAGGUUUUGAGCCUAGUGCUUCCCACUUGCCAGAUGGUUGCAAUUGGUAAUAAGCCAGUGAAUCCUUCAAGCUUAGCUUUGUGAUGCUAGCAAGGGAAUUAUCCUUGGAACUGGAAUCUUCUUUGGUAAAAGAUCCACUUGAGUAAAAAAAAAAAUCCCC